ACCACCUCUAUUCACCUUUGCACUUUCUUGAAAAGAAGCAAUUCAAACAGUCUUGCUCAAAGAUGUGUCAGACCAUCUGGGAAACACACAUAUCGAGAGACUACACAAAUUAUAUAAGAAAGUUAGGUUCCUAAUGGUAUGCCACCAGGGAGGAAUCAUGGAAGGCUAUGUGUACCUAAACAAGUGCAUAGAACAAUUUAGGGAACUAAAGGAAGGUCUAUCUACCCAUUCAAAUAGUUCGUCUUCUCUGCGUGACCAACCUUCAUGUAGGCAUUGUCGAAUCUCAGGUUCUGCAGGUGAAUCUGUUGACGGUAAUCUAUUCUGUAUUGUGAUACAUCGACGCAACAUAUGCAGUGUAUACUUGCCACAUUACAAUCUUAGAGAACGACUUGCUGCUUUACAGUAGACUUGCCGCUUUCCUAGCAUC